GACGAACGCUGGCGGCGUGCUUAACACAUGCAAGUCGAGCGGAAAGGCCCUUCGGGGUACUCGAGCGGCGAACGGGUGAGUAACACGUGAGCAACCUGCCUUCAGCUUUGGGAUAACCCU
rnacentral:rRNA from 1 species